AACAAUCAAAUAUCCUUACCGUAGACAGUUGGCGCGUUUAUCGCUUAAAUUUGCCACCCGAGGGAUUUCUUUUGAAGUGUGCGUCCGCGUGCAUUUUACAAAAACCUCUGACGUCUACGGUGUCAGAGGUUUUUUGUUGCUGAU
rfam:Listeria monocytogenes EGD-e, complete genome